ensembl:antisense Gm10138 predicted gene 10138
ACGUGGAGCUCGAACAAAGGACCCCGUGGUCCACGGCGACCAGGGACUCCGUGCCACCCCACGCCUAACCCCCGGAACCGAUGCGCUCUGAGGGCGGCUCUGUGUCCCCACGCGCCGGCCGCGGGGAGUCUUAGCCCGGAGAGCCCCAAACCGCAGCCGGCACCUCGCUCCUGACAGCGGGAAACGAUGUCUACAGUCCUCGGUGGCCGCCGCUCUCAUCCGGCGGGUCAUCCCUCCUAGUCCUCCGCCGGGCCAGGUCCCGGGGACCCUCCGUCACCCAGCGCGGAAGCCUGACGAUCCCCGCCCCGGCGGAGGAAGGUCCGGGACCACCGCGCUCUUCCCCCGCCAGCCGGCAACCGAGCCGAGUGCGGAGCCCCGCGAUGCCCGUGUCUCCCGGGACAGCGGGACGCUCCGCACCACCACCAUCUUCCCACCCCGCCCUCUCCCUCCCGCGGCGCCCGCGUACAGCGCGUUACCUGGGUCAUCUCUGAAGAGAUGGCGAAAUUCAUCUCCAGAGCUUCGACGGGCUGCAGGCGGAAGGCGCUGGAAGGGGCUCGGGGCGACCGGGCGGGAGGCUGCGGGCCGAGGAAGACCAGUGGGUACUCGCGGGAACUCGCUCGCCGCCACGACGCGCCCAGCACCUCCGAGCGACUGACCGACCUCCACGCGCGUCCCGAACACACUGCCACCGCCGCCGCCGCCGCGCGCGCUCGCGCCGCACUCCCUCGCACGUCACCACGUGCGCUGCCGCCAACGCCUCCCGGCCGCUUCCGGCUCUGAUGCCUGAGCGAAUCACAGGCGAGCUCCCGGGAAGAUCCCGCUCUGAGGCUCCGCCCCCGGACAGGGCCCCGCCCACCUCAUAGCUCUUUUCCUCAGCCGCCCCCUCCUUCCUUCUCGGCUCAACUAGGUCAGCGCAAGGUGAUCCCGGAGAGCGGGGCGGCGGGGACCGCUCCUCCUGUUACUUAUCGAGCGCGCGCUCCCUCCCGAGCCUCACACCCUCGCUUCGCCCUUUUUUUUCCACUGUCCAGGAACUGGUUCCCUCCUUCCUCUUCCACCUGCCCUACCUUCUCCAGAGAUCCGACGUGGCGAUUAGAGUUCUCAGCGUCACACUGACUUCUAGGCAACUAGCCUAGACUGGAGCUGCGUGUUGUGGGAACCCCGCGGCAGUAGUUGAGCAUCAGGCUCUUACCUUGGAGGUGGAGGGGUGAGAAGAAUAGAGGAAGAAGGGAUAAGUCAGAGGAGGGCCUGAACAACUAGCCCCUCUAUUGGCCUGCUUUGGGUGAGCAUUCAGUGAGUGUGUUUAAAAAAAAAAAAAAAAAAAAAAAAGGUGAAAGAGAUAUUAUCGGUGUGCCAUAAAAUGCGUGUUCACUUCUAUUUUUUGUCCCCCUCUGGUAUCAGUUCCUGAUGUCUCGACUUCUUUGGACAAAGAAAAGUAGCUUGGGGAAUUGUUAGUCCCUAUCUCUACCCCCUGGGGCCUUUUAACCCAGGAGCCAAGCCCAGUCAUCCACCCACCUUGCCCCUAGGAGGCAGGCAGUCGUUUAGGUCAAAUGUGAUUUAAGCUGGGCUCCACUUCUUCAUAUGACUCUGAAGCACAUGCUGGGAAGUUUCCUUGAUUGAAGAUGAGGGGAUUUGGUGAGAUUAUAUCCAAAGGUCUAUAAAGUACACACAUAAUCGAGUUAGGUAAAGGUUUCCAGAUAAAUGCUUAUACUGGUUUAUAGAGGGCGCUUACACAGUCUAGACCUGACUUUGAUCAUCCCGCUUAAUUUGUAGCCAUUUCUUGGAGCUCUUUGACAAUGCUUCCUACCCUUCUUUAAUGUGUUAGCGGGUAGGAAAUAGAAAUUGGGGGGGGGGUCUUCAUUACUUUUAAAAAAUAAGAUCUUGUGGCCAGGAGACGUUUCUUUUUUGUUGUUGUUUCACAAAAGGAGGAAGUAGAAACUGAGCUGUCAGCUAGUAUGAUUAUGUGUCUUAGAGAAACUGGCAUUUGCUGUCCAGCUUUUCUCUUUGAUAGCACAUUACUUUUGUUGCAAAUGACACUAUUAGGGACCUGGAUUACUGAGCUCUUUCUGGCAGUGAGAGAAUAUGAACUGCCCACUUGGGACAGGCACAUGACUGGCCUGCUGGACACAUGGUCCUACUUGCUGUACACUAAAUAGCGUCUUUGUAAUCUGGAACAGUCAACACUCUCUUAAAGCGACAGUGUGAUCGGAGUCAGUGCAUUUUGGCCUUCAGUAUUUCCUGCUCUAUGAAUGCUGGCAUAAUUUUACAUACUGUAUCUGUCUUUCAGGCAUCUCAGUAUGUAUAAUAGCCACUGACAUUUGGAAGUGAGCCAUAAAUGAUUAUUUGCAUUCUUUGUAAUAGUAACAAAGGACAUAAUGUUGAUCUCGGGGUGGAGAACAUAGUUUAGCAGUAGAGUGCUUGCCUAAAGCACCAGGGUGCUUGGGUUUCAUCUCUAACACUGUAAACACACAAACACAUUAUAUACACAGAUUUUCUAAGACUG